GGCUCAGGAUGAACGCUGGCGGCGUGCUUAACACAUGCAAGUCGAACGAAGAUGCCGGAGUGCUUGCACUUUGGCAGACUGAGUGGCGGACGGGUGAGUAACGCGUGGGUAACCUGCCUUAUACAGGGGGAUAACAGUUGGAAACGACUGCUAAUACCGCAUAAGCGCACGGUAUCGCAUGAUACAGUGUGAAAAACUCCGGUGGUAUAAGAUGGACCCGCGUCUGAUUAGCUGGUUGGUGAGGUAACGGCCCACCAAGGCGACGAUCAGUAGCCGACCUGAGAGGGUGACCGGCCACAUUGGGACUGAGACACGGCCCAAACUCCUACGGGAGGCAGCAGUGGGGAAUAUUGCACAAUGGAGGAAACUCUGAUGCAGCGACGCCGCGUGAGUGAAGAAGUAUUUCGGUAUGUAAAGCUCUAUCAGCAGGGAAGAUAAUGACGGUACCUGACUAAGAAGCACCGGCUAAAUACGUG
rnacentral:rRNA from 1 species